rnacentral:rRNA from 1 species
AUUGAACGCUGGCGGCAGGCCUAACACAUGCAAGUCGAGCGGAUGAAGGAAGCUUGCUCCUGGAUUCAGCGGCGGACGGGUGAGUAAUGCCUAGGAAUCUGCCUGGUAGUGGGGGAUAACGUCCGGAAACGGGCGCUAAUACCGCAUACGUCCUGAGGGAGAAAGUGGGGGAUCUUCGGACCUCACGCUAUCAGAUGAGCCUAGGUCGGAUUAGCUAGUUGGUGGGGUAAAGGCCUACCAAGGCGACGAUCCGUAACUGGUCUGAGAGGAUGAUCAGUCACACUGGAACUGAGACACGGUCCAGACUCCUACGGGAGGCAGCAGUGGGGAAUAUUGGACAAAGGGCGAAAGCCUGAUCCAGCCAUGCCGCGUGUGUGAAGAAGGUCUUCGGAUUGUAAAGCACUUUAAGUUGGGAGGAAGGGCAGUAAGUUAAUACCUUGCUGUUUUGACGUUACCAACAGAAUAAGCACCGGCUAACUUCGUG